rnacentral:rRNA from 1 species
CUACGUGCCAGCAGCCGCGGUAAUACGUAGGGUGCGAGCGUUAAUCGGAAUUACUGGGCGUAAAGCGGGCGCAGACGGUUACUUAAGCAGGAUGUGAAAUCCCCGGGCUCAACCUGGGAACUGCGUUCUGAACUGGGUGACUAGAGUGUGUCAGAGGGAGGUAGAAUUCCACGUGUAGCAGUGAAAUGCGUAGAGAUGUGGAGGAAUACCGAUGGCGAAGGCAGCCUCCUGGGAUAACACUGACGUUCAUGCCCGAAAGUGUGGGUAGCAAACAGGAUUAGAUACCCUGGUAGUCCACGCCCUAAACGAUGUCAAUUAGCUGUUGGGCAACUUGAUUGCUUAGUAGCGUAGCUAACGCGUGGAAUUGACCGCCUGGGGAGUACGGUCGCAAGAUUAAAACUCAAAGGAAUUGACGGGGACCCGCACAAGCGGUGGAUGAUGUGGAUUAAUUCGAUGCAACGCGAAGAACCUUACCUGGUCUUGACAU